AAAAAAAAACUCCAGUAAACCUCCAAUGAAUAUAGUCUCCAAGUGUUAAGGACUCAAUAGCAGAUCAAAAUUGUGAAAUAAACUACUUAUCAUAAAAAAGCAAUGAAUCCUCUGGUGGGUUGUCAAGGCUCAGGCACUAAUGGGUCUUUUGGUCCUAGUAUAAAAUUUAGAAUUACAUUUAUCCAUGUUUGGUCAGUGUUCUUGGCUGAUACGAUAUAAAUCUAUCACAUAUGCAAUGUGGAAUUAUAAUCCCAGGGACGUCCUUGGUCCAAACCAAGCGACCCCUCCUGCAAGUGAUAUGAAUCACUAUCCGAUAUGUUUGUACCACCGUAUUCUUGCUAGUACAUGGAACUCUUGCACUUGCCCCAUGGCACCAGAAGCCAGGGAAAAUAAUCUUCUUGGAAUUAAUGUCCAGAAAAAGAAAUCUUAAAAAUAGAACUUAAGCAUAAAAUAGUUAACCAAAAGAGGCCAGAGGAAGUUUUAGCGGGAGAUCAAUGCAGCUAUGAAAAUUGUUUAGUGUUGCCUACUAACUGAAACACAUAAACAUGUCUGAAUGUUGCCUGUUUUACUUCAAAAAAGGAGUCAACUUUUCUUUUCUUUUCCUUUCCAGAUAAGCUUGGAAUUGUCUCUCAUUUUCUAAAGUAGCAUUUCCAAAAGUGAGAGAAGAACUUCCAUGCAACAAUCUGGGUAAUUUGCUGGGCAACCAUAAGCAACCUUGUUACCCAGGUUUUUUCCACUUUUGGUGUAACGAAAUCGUGUCAUACCUCGAGAUAUCUUGUUAUCAACAUUUUGGUGCUGAAAUUGAAGCCUUCAACUGAUUCUCCUUUCUUACGAGAUGCAUGAAGUUGCUUUCUAACUUGAGUCGCUAGAGACUGCAGAGGACAUAAAUAAACAAGGACUUGUUCCCCAGUGAAACUAAUUUGGAGCAAAAACAGAUGAACUGAAGCUUCGAAGUCUGAAUAGAAGUUCUAGGAAAUUAACCAAAGUCAAGCUCAUGGGUCGAGAACCAAGUGUGCAUGAGAAAAAUUGACAAGAAAAAAUAAAAGACCCAAAGUUACCCUUGAACGCCUUAUGGCCCAAGGUGCCAGGGCAAUUUUGGAUCAGAACUGCAGAAAUUAUGGUCUUGGGAAAUCCCUCUUGUGCAAGAUCAAUUUGGGCCAUCUGUUGUUGAAAUCAGUCUCAGGAUUUUACUCUUAGCACAGCGUGCUAUGCUAAUUUUGGGCAUAUGCGGUCCUGCUUUGGUUCAUUAAGGUCAUUUCUACACGGUAUAAAUACAUGGGAAACACACUUUAUCAAAAAAAAAAAAAACAUGGAAAGCACAACUUGGGAGGACUUUUGACCUAAGAUGUAGAGAAAGGCUCCUCGCUUGGAGACAUGAGGAUUCGAAGAGUUGCCAUCGAUGAUCAAUUAAAUAUAAUAGUUUGGAUUGAGAAGUUGGUUGUAGUGUUUUCUAGGUUUUUAUUCUUAUUUGCAAUGUACUUCUCUUCUACGAAGUAAUUUUCUCAUAAGACAUAGAUGGAUAUGGUAUAAUGAUUAUCACUUCCAGUUUUAAAUUUUGUUGAAUGCUUAGAACUUGUCGUGGAUUUCUAAAGAAAUUGUGGAGUAACGUUAUUGCAUGUUAAUCAAAAGAGAAGUGUUUUGAUGAA